rnacentral:rRNA from 1 species
AUUGAACGCUGGCGGCAGGCCUAACACAUGCAAGUCGAGCGGGGUUUUCGGACCUAGCGGCGGACGGGUGAGUAGUGCGUAGGAAGCUACCCGAUAGAGGGGGAUACCAGUUGGAAACGACUGUUAAUACCGCAUAAUGUCUACGGACCAAAGUGUGGGACCUUCGGGCCACAUGCUAUCGGAUGCGCCUACGUGGGAUUAGCUAGUUGGUGGGGUAAUGGCUCACCAAGGCGACGAUCCCUAGCUGGUUUGAGAGGAUGAUCAGCCACACUGGAACUGAGACACGGUCCAGACUCCUACGUGAGGCAGCAGUGGGGAAUAUUGCACAAGGGGCGCAAGCCUGAUGCAGCCAUGCCGCGUGUAUGAAGAAGGCCUUCGGGUUGUAAAGUACUUUCAGCGGGGAGGAAGGUGUUGUGGUUAAUAACCACAGCAAUUGACGUUACCCGCAGAAGAAGCACCGGCUAACUCCGUGCCAGCAGCCGCCGUAACAC